UACGAAGGGUGCAAACGUUGCUCGGAAUUAUUGGGGCGUAAAGCGCACGUAGGCGGCUUUGCAAGUCCCAUGUGAAAGCCCACGGCUUAACCGUGGAAGUGCAUGGGAAACUGCAGAGCUUGAGUACUUAAGAGGAUCGCGGAAUUCCCGGUGUAGAGGUGAAAUUCGUAGAUAUCGGGAGGAACACCAGUGGCGAAGGCGGCGAUCUGGGAAGAGUACUGACGCUGAGGUGCGAAAGCGUGGGGAGCAAACAGG
rnacentral:rRNA from 1 species